UCCAGAGUGUUCAGAAAUAUCAAAUAUGAGCUGAAUAAGAAGUGGAAAGAGAAGGAUUCCUCCCUUCCACAGACUACAAACCUGGCUGAUAGACGGAAUAUUUCACUUUAGAUCAAAUGAUUCACAGUCAUCUUUGUCGAUAUUACAACAUAGUGACCACUCAACUGUCUUCAAUGGUAUUUGACUACAUGGAUUCUGUAAAUAGGCGAAGCUUAAGAACACUAUUUUUUUUUCCAAGUGCAAUAUACUGUAGUCAUAAGA